AUGGCUGUCGUCAGCUCGUGUCGUGAGAUGUUGGGUUAAGUCCCGCAACGAGCGCAACCCUUAUUCUAUGUUGCCAGCGGAUUAUGCCGGGGACUCGUAGAAGACUGCCGGGGUCAACUCGGAGGAAGGUGGGGACGACGUCAAGUCAUCAUGCCCCUUAUGUCCAGGGCUGCAAACACGCUACAAUGGCCGGUACAGAGGGCUGCAAACUCGUGAGGGUGAGCGAAUCCCAUAAAGCCGGUCUCAGUUCGGAUUGGAGGCUGCAACUCGCCUCCAUGAAGCUGGAGUUGCUAGUAAUCCCGGAUCAGCACGCCGGGGUGAAUACGUUCCCGGGCCUUGUACACACCGCCCGUCACGCCAUGGAAGUGGUGAGCGCCCGAAGUCCGUGUCGGAACCCGCAAGGGGCCAAGCGGCCGAAGGCGAGCAUCAUGACUGGGGCGAAGUCGUAACAAGGUAGCCGUAGGGGAACCUGCGGCUGGAUCACCUCCUUAACGGAGCUGCGAGUAAGGCAGACUUGCUGGGGUAACCCAGGUUACUUGCCGGAAAGCACUCACGUGUCGCUCGUCUCGUAUCAUCCCGAUCUCAAUCUCGAUUUCCAUAUAAACGAGCCCGAACCGUGGCCCGGUGUUGCGGGUAUGAUUCAGGCUCGAAAGAACAAGAGGGACUGCACCUUAAGUCCUUAAGCACCAAGCGACAGAGCGCUUAUAUCUCGAAAGCUUUUUGACAAUGGAAAGUAGUAGUGAUCGUGGGAUUUGAGCACCUGGACCUGAUAAGAUCUGGGUGCUGAGAAUCAACACUAGUGACACAAUUUCAUAGAAGCUCUGACCUUCGGGUUGGGGCUCGAUUUGUCUCAAAGAGCUUGAAGAAGCUUCGAGAGUCCAAAUGAUUGUAUCACUCGUUAGAUCGCGCGUGUUAUUGUUUGAACAAAUGGAACAAGUUAUUUGAUCAAGCGAAAGAAAGUAUGUGGGGGAUGCCUAGGUACACAGAGGCGAUGAAGGCCGUGGUAAGCUGCGAUAAGCCAGGGGGAGCUGCACACAAGCUAUGAGCCCUGGAUGGCCGAAUGGGGAAACCCGG
rnacentral:sRNA from 1 species